GAAUUUAUUUAAUUUAGAGUUAAACAUUAUCGUGUCUAAGUAAAGGUGUUAUUAUUAUAAUUAUUAUUAUUCUGGCUUCUUAUGCUUGUAUUCACGGUUUCUGGCUUCAUUGUCUAGCAUUGUUCGUUGCAAAUAAAAAGAAGAGAUACGUAUGAUGCACGAUCCUCGCAGUAGAGAGCGAAAAAGAAGAAAGUUUCUUCUUUGUUACUUUUAUAAAAACGAGAGAUCAAUACAGUAUUCAACAAAUUGAAGUUCUUGACAGAAUAGAUCUACGUUUUUACCCGCGAAUUGCUCGGCGUGUUCACUGUUACUCUGGCGACGGUCCAAAGUCUGAAUCUCAAUCAUGGAGGGGAGGGGGAGGGUAUGAGGUCCAAAUCAAAAUGGAAAUUUUCCGGGGGGUCAAAUCGGCGAAUUCGGUGGGGAAUGUGCUGGUCUCUAGAUUUGAGGUCUCCAGAGGUUGGCAACUCCACAGUUGUUUCCUUACCUUCAGAACAGCCAUCGACGUGAACAAAAACCAUUACAAAACCUACCAGAGUGCUAAUCAAACAGCUUACAGUCAGGGCCCUGUGAACCUUAAAGAAAGAGGUGGAUUAAAAAACGACAAAAAUGAAAAGAAGUUGUCCACGAGCCUGACUUCUUAAUGAUAGCUGGGUAUUUUUGUGUCAGUCACAACACAUGCUGUGCGGAUAUCACGGUAUAAUUAUAAAUAAUUAUUUACCCUCAGCUAGGUAGGUUUACCCAAUCACUAUGGAACGAGAGAAUCUGCUUUUGAAUGUCCCUCCCUAAUCGAUUAUCUUAUGGCAACUUAACCACCUCCAUUAUUCCCUUCAUAAAACUAAAUUUGAUUGUCAGGUGAAUGUUAGCGAACACUUCAUCGAAGCAGACUACAUCACUAAAGAAUGGAUGUUUCAGUCCUCUAUGAAGGAGUACAGCGCAUGUCUGGCAGCAAGAGGGGUAAUAUUUAACAGCAGAGCAGGGGGGACCUCAUCAAGCUCCAGUGGGCCAGGGAGAGGAUGGAGACCACUUCAUAAACUACAGUUGUUUGAGGUCAACAAGAAGAUUACCACUGUCCAUCACUAGUUCUGCAAACAGAGGUUCUUCCAUACUUGGCCAUUACUGAUGUUCCCCUGAGAACACCAGGACAAAUUUCCUUUUUGCAAGCUAUCAGCAAUUUCAGAAAAUCCAAGCAAUCAUUCAGAGGAAGCACAGAUACACUUGAAGAAAAAGACUGUGGUAUGAACAGUGAUAAUGAUGACGACAUCCUUGCUAGUUCCCAACCAAGGGGGAAUACAAUCCAGGGAGCUAACAAGUGCCUGGUCAUGGGUGAAGAGUGUGAUUCACAAGGAACCUCUCAGAUGCUUCAGGAUGAUGAUAAUGCAAUAGAGGAUUUUGAUGAUGAAGACUGAGGUGUG
rnacentral:lncRNA from 1 species